AUCAGAGCGUGCGAGCCGCGCGUGCAGCGACGGUUUGAGCCGGUCCCGCGAGGCAGGGACGGAGACGUCCUUGGCAAAGAUGUCUUUGGUCCUCGGCGAAUAUAAAGCGGGACGCCUACCCAUCGAUUCCACCCUGACAAAGCUCCAACAUCAGACUUUGUACUGACCUGAUUGAUAGACCUCGAAUCACAGGUGACUGGUGACUGCUGACUUCACUUUCAUUCCUGGAAUCAGUUCUCUGCACUAUCUGAGUAGACACCAUUCACGAUGAGUGGUAUCAGAGUGUAGGAGCCAUGUCUCUGCUCCGUCAAAAGAGGACAGUUUCCCACAUUUGGAUGGCUUGAUUAUAACCAUGUAUAAUCUUUCCGCUGACUGGUUAACACACAAUAAAAUAUUUUUGCUGCACCUUGGUACACGUGACAAUAAACUGAACUAAUUAACAAAACUCAGUAUGCAGAUGGUGGGUACAAAAUGAGUGUGCCCAUGGUGUAGGAAUCUGCUGGCUGUGCGUAUUGGAGAGGUGUGUGUGUGUGUGUGUGUCUGCAUGCGUG